rnacentral:sRNA from 1 species
ACAGAUGAGAAAACUGAAACAUUGAGAAGUCAAGUAACUUGCUCAAGAUUAUAUAGCUAGUGCAUAGAGGGGCAAGGAUUUGAACCAGGCUGCCUGGUUCCACAUGCACUUUAACCUGCUUUAUUUAGGCUUUUGGAAGCAACCUAAAUAGCUAACAUUCGCUAAGUAAAUGCAAUAUACCUGGUCUGUGUGACAUUUUGCAGGUAUUAAAAAGUGAACAUUCUGAACCCUUUUAGCAACAUGGCAAAUACUUCUGAUGUGAUGUAUGCAUAUAAAUAUGAUCAAAAGCAAAUAUCCCAAAAGGUUAAUGGCAGUUAGGUGAGGUUAGUAGUACAAUAGUUUGUUUUCUCAUUUUCUCACAUUUUUAGUAAUGUGUGUUGCCUAUAUUAAAAAACAAAUAUUAAAAAGUAGUAGCAUGUAUUGGAUCAGAGCAUGGGCUCAGACUGCCUGUGUCAUCUCUUAUUAGAUGUGUGACCAGGGACAAGUUAUUGACCUUUUGUUUCUAAGUCUCUAAGUUUAUCCUGUAAAAUGAAGAUAAUUGUAGUAACUACCUAAUAACAUGAUUGUAAGGAUUAAAUUAUUUAGAACACUAUUUGUUACUUGGAAAAUAUGCAAGCAUAAGCUAUUUUGUUGUUAUUGUUAUUUUACUACCAAAGCUUAUUGUUUCAGAGCCCCUAGGUGACCAGGCAAAAUGACAGUUCCCUCCAGCUGGUCCUCAGAUGGGCACAUCUAUUAGCCUCUGCUCUUGUAAGAAGUUAGCUGCAGAACCCACGUGUGAAUCCUUGUAGGACUCUGGAGAAGAUCAAAUGGGAGCUUGGAUGUGGAAGCUCUUUGGAAACCAAGAAACACUCUGCAAAUGAAAAGGGUGGAAGAGUAAACUGUUCCCGUUUCUCCAAAUUGACAGGAAGCAGAAGUUCUCCUUAGCUGAUUUUUCUUCUUGCCUUAUACUGGGUUCUUUAACACCAGAACAAAAAUAAAUAAAUAAAAGAAUCUUCCAGAAAUUCAUGAAGAGACUUCAGGUCAGGAAAGCCUGAACUUUCUCAUCUAACACCUGUUCAAGUCGGAGGAUGCUGAUUAAUUCAUGAUGGAAAGGUAUCAAUUUCACAGCCCAGACUUCUACAUUCUUGAAAUGCUGUUCUCAUGGGAGACAUUAAAUAAGCUUUGAAAUAACUGAAGAACCAAUGAUGUGAUCCCUGGAUACUGGCAAUUGUUGCCCAAGAAACCCUCUCCCCUUGCUAUGGGACUGCUGGGCAC